rnacentral:rRNA from 1 species
AGUGAACGCUGGCGGUAGGCCUAACACAUGCAAGUCGAACGGCAGCACAGUAAGAGCUUGCUCUUACGGGUGGCGAGUGGCGGACGGGUGAGGAAUACAUCGGAAUCUACUUUUUCGAGGGGGAUAACGUAGGGAAACUUACGCUAAUACCGCAUACGACCUACGGGUGAAAGCAGGGGAUCUUCGGACCUUGCGCGAUUGAAUGAGACGAUGUCGGAUUAGCUAGUUGGCGGGGUAAAGGCCCACCAAGGCGACGAUCCGUAGCUGGUCUGAGAGGAUGAUCAGCCACACUGGAACUGAGACACGGUCCAGACUCCUACGGGAGGCAGCAGUGGGGAAUAUUGGACAAUGGGCGCAAGCCUGAUCCAGCCAUACCGCGUGGGUGAAGAAGGCCUUCGGGUUGUAAAGCCCUUUUGUUGGGAAAGAAAAGCAGCAGGUUAAUACCCCGCUGUUCUGACGGUACCCAAAGAAUAAGCACCGGCUAACUUCGUG